rnacentral:rRNA from 1 species
CGCAGGCGCAGCUUACACAUGCAAGUCGAAGCGAAGAUCCUUUCGGAAUCUAGCGGCGGACGGGUGAAGUAACGCGUGGGAACGUACCCUCUUCUGCGGGAUAGCCACUGGAAACGGUGAGUAAUACCGCAUACGCCCUUCGGGGGAAAGAUUUAUCGGAGGAGGAUCGGCCCGCGUUGGAUUAGGUAGUUGGUGGGGUAAUGGCCUACCAAGCCUACGAUCCAUAGCUGGUUUUAGAGGAUGAUCAGCCACACUGGGACUGAGACACGGCCCAGACUCCUACGGGAGGCAGCAGUGGGGAAUCUUAGACAAUGGGCGCAAGCCUGAUCUAGCCAUGCCGCGUGAGUGACGAAGGCCUUAGGGUCGUAAAGCUCUUUCGCCUGUGAUGAUAAUGACAGUAGCAGGUAAAGAAACCCCGGCUAACUCCGUGCCAGCAGCCGCGGUAAUACGGAGGGGGUUAGCGUUGUUCGGAAUUACUGGGCGUAAAGCGCACGUAGGCGGAUUGGAAAGUAUGGGGUGAAAUCCCAGGGCUCAACCCUGGAACGGCCUCAUAAACUUCCAGUCUGGAGUUCGAGAGAGGUGAGUGGAAUUCCGAGUGUAGAGGUGAAAUUCGUAGAUAUUCGGAGGAACACCAGUGGCGAAGGCGGCUCACUGGCUCGAUACUGACGCUGAGGUGCGAAAGUGUGGGGAGCAAACAGGAUUAGAUACCC